UGUCACGUCAGUAUUUUUAUAGGGGCAAUUUGUGACACAUGUCCUUUCUUUUUUACGUGAACAGCGUGAGUUUUUUCUAAACUUUUUGGCCUACUGAUUUUUCUUUUGUUUUGUGGGCUCUUACUAGCUGGCCCAUUUUCUUUAGGGUUUCUAGCUCCUGCGAUCAGGAUUCGGCUCCUCCUCUGGCUCUUCGUCUCUUAGAAACUCAGAGGAGAGCCCUUGUAAGUUCUAACGUCGUCCGUUUCUUCCUUUAGUCUCAUCAUUUAUUGAUUACCCACUCAUCCCACUUUCUCUGAAUUAAACAUUAUCAUUAUCAUCCCGCCUGAGACUCUUCUUCACUAUAAAACGGUCCUAAUAUGCUUUUCUUGGAUGAGAGCGAGCUCUGUCUUCGUUUUUAUAGAUUCUUACAUAGAUUACGAGUCCUCUCUUGGAAUUCGAUUACGUUUUCUCCCCACGAAGACUAUGUCUUUGGCUUUAUUUCUAUCUAAGUCAUAUGGAGUUUGCAUCUCCGACGAGGUAACGCUUUUACUUUUCCGCCAUAGACCACCAUAUGUGCACCUUCGACGAGGUUACAAUUAUAUUUCAGUUAGCAGCUCACUAUUUGCUCAGCCAUUCAUCUUCUCUGCCUUCAUUAUAAAUUUUAUUCAGUAUAUAUAUUCAUCCGUAGGGCGUCUUAGCCACAGCUCAUCAUUUUGCAGUCUACCUUUCUAACCAUUAAAUCAUUAGUUCUAGAUUUUUUUUUUGCAAUUCAGAGUCCUAGAUUUUCAUGUCCUGCAAAUUCCAAUUGUUUAUUAUACUCCUGUGAAAAAUGAGACUGUUGAUUGUUUUGAACAAAAGCUUCGCAAAUAAAGUUUCAAUCUUUAUCCUUUUUCUCUCCUUAGUACUAUCGAUAUGGCUUUUUCUCCAAAUUAGUAAAAUGAUGCUAAAUGGUCACGGUAGCGGUUGAUGCAUCUUUUUUUUUGUUUUAUUAAGGCUUUGUUUAAUUAGACUUCAUGAUGAUUUGUGUUUGGACUUGAGGAAAGAAUCAUUCACAUGUGCGUGACUGCCCAAAGUUAUGUUAUGUAUCUAAGCAUACAUAUAAUAUUUUUCCCUCAAAGCUUGGUUUGUUUCCGUCACAUCAUAAUCUUCCUGUCCCAUUUCUUCGUUGAACAACUCUUCUAUCUAAGUCAUAUGGAUCUCGCGUCUCUAUCUACUUUGAGAGUCAUAGAUUGAUAUAUAUAUUAUAUUAACUUUGUAUUCCAUCCUCUUGAAUGAAGUUACCUUAUACAGUGAUACUUGUCUUCUCUUCAUUUUUGGUCUCAGUUUCUUUUUCCGUGAAUCAACUUGAUAUAAAUUUUUCCUUUACACAUGUAGAUUGGUUUUCUGACUGGUGCUUGAAGAUAUAGCUCUGGUGUAUUGAAUUCUCUUUAUGCAAGAUUUACUCUCUUAAAAGGAUAGCAGGUAAUUAAUUAUUUAGGUUUCAAGUAUUCUUAGUUGUUAAAUCUUUUAACUGUUUUUUGUGUUGUAGCUUUAAAGGCGUUUUCGUUGCAUUUUUAAGAUGAAAGAUUUUUCAAUUUUCAGACAAAGGUCAUGCGGUUGGAAACUCGGUAGAGAGUUGCAAAGAUGAGUCUAAGUCUCAAAACUGUUUUGAGUAGAAGUGAGAAGAUGCAGAGCCAAGGUCCCGGAAAAUAGGAAGAAGAUAACAAUGUCUGUGAGCUGUUCUAUGAUACAAGAACCAGUGAGGACUUGGCAAAAUAAAAUGAUGGAAACCAUUCUUGUGGAGUUCUGAUUGAGACUGGAAAGAAGCUACGAUUUUAUAACAUCAAUGCUAAUAGCUGUUCUCCGGAGAUAGUUUUGUGUCGUUUUAUAUGGACAAGCAUGUUAUAAGGAGAACACUUAUCAUGUUGUGAAAGGACAUGUGUCGAUGAAGAUGUGACAAUUCAGGAGAAGUUCAAUAUUCGUUGAGAAAGAUUCUGUGUAUUAUGCCUUUUUUGGGAUUUGUAAUAUAAAGCAAACAUAUUCUUUGAUUAUUUUAUUUCAUUUAAUUAUGUAAUCUGUAUAUGUUUAACAAAGUUUUUGAUGUUACUAUGUAAUAAAAACUGAGAAGGGAACGUUUGAUGAGAUAUGAGUUAUAGGCUUUCAUUCAA